rnacentral:rRNA from 1 species
AGCGAACGCUGGCGGCAGGCUUAACACAUGCAAGUCGAGCGGGCAUCCUUGUGGUGUCAGCGGCAGACGGGUGAGUAACGCGUGGGAACGUGCCCUUCGGUUCGGAAUAACUCAGGGAAACUUGAGCUAAUACCGGAUACGUGCGAGAGCAGAAAGGUUUAUCUGCCGAAGGAUCGGCCCGCGUCUGAUUAGCUAGUUGGUGAGGUUAUGGCUCACCUAGGCGACGAUCAGUAGCUGGUCUGAGAGGAUGAUCAGCCACACUGGGACUGAGACACGGCCCAGACUCCUACGGGAGGCAGCAGUGGGGAAUAUUGGACAAUGGGGGCAACCCUGAUCCAGCCAUGCCGCGUGAGUGAUGACGGCCUUAGGGUUGUAAAGCUCUUUUCUCCGGGACGUUAAUGACGGUACCGGAGGAAUAAACCCCGGCUAACUUCGU